rnacentral:rRNA from 1 species
CAGCCUACGGGGGGCAGCAGUGAGGAAUAUUGGUCAAUGGGCGGGAGCCUGAACCAGCCAAGCCGCGUGAGGGAAGAAGGUACAGCGUAUCGUAAACCUCUUUUGUCAGGGAACAAAGGCGGGGACUAGUCCCCGGAUGAGGGUACCUGAAGAAAAAGCAUCGGCUAACUCCGUGCCAGCAGCCGCGGUAAUACGUAGGGGGCAAGCGUUAUCCGGAUUUACUGGGUGUAAAGGGAGCGUAGACGGUGCAGCAAGUCUGAUGUGAAAGGUCGGGGCCCAACCCCGGGACUGCAUUGGAAACUGCC